rnacentral:rRNA from 1 species
GUAGGGAGCAAGCGUUGUCCGGAAUCAUUGGGCGUAAAGAGCUCGUAGGCGGCCCGUUAAGUCGGAGGUGAAAUCCCAGGGCUCAACCCUGGAACUGCCCUCGAUACUGGCGGGCUUGAGGCAGGUAGGGGCGAGUGGAAUUCCUGGUGUAGCAGUGAAAUGCGCAGAUAUCAGGAGGAACACCGGUGGCGAAGGCGGCUCGCUGGGCCUGACCUGACGCUGAGGAGCGAAAGCGUGGGGAGCAAACAGGAUUAGAUACCCUGGUAGUCCACGCUGUAAACGAUGGGUGCUAGAUGUGGGGGGUCGUUCACGCCUUCCGUGUCGCAGCUAACGCAUUAAGCACCCCGCCUGGGGACUACGGCCGCAAGGCUA